rnacentral:rRNA from 1 species
AUUGAACGCUGGCGGCAUGCCUUACACAUGCAAGUCGAACGGCAGCACGGGAGCUUGCUCCUGGUGGCGAGUGGCGAACGGGUGAGUAAUACAUCGGAACGUACCCAGUAGUGGGGGAUAACGCACCGAAAGGUGCGCUAAUACCGCAUACGACCUCAGGGUGAAAGCGGGGGACCGUAAGGCCUCGCGCUAUUGGAGCGGCCGAUGUCUGAUUAGCUAGUUGGCGGGGUAAAGGCCCACCAAGGCGACGAUCAGUAGCUGGUCUGAGCGGACGAUCAGCCACACUGGGACUGAGACACGGCCCAGACUCCUACGGGAGGCAGCAGUGGGGAAUUUUGGACAAUGGGGGCAACCCUGAUCCAGCAAUGCCGCGUGUGCGAAGAAGGCCUUCGGGUUGUAAAGCACUUUUGUCAGGGAAGAAACAGCAGCUCUAACACAGUCUGCGAAUGACGGUACCUGAAGAAUAAGCACCGGCUAACUACGUGCCAGCCGCCGCCGUAA